AAAAAAAGUCUGCACCGUGCAUACCAGAAGUGCUGUGAUCCACAACACCAAGUGUCCAAUGUCGUAGGAGUUAGUAAGAUACCGCGGUGCCACCAUCUGACUGACCCCGACUGGAAGGUUCAGACUGCGCAGGAUCCUGCAGGUUAUUUAAAGUACCAAAUGGCAGCGCUCCAAAUGGCAGAGAGGAUACCAAAGGGCGAGAGAAGCUGAUGCUGGGGUGUCCAGCUUUCUAAGGUCAAAAACUCUCUUUGCUAUAAAAAUAUAUCUGACUGUCAGCGCUUGUCAUACUGAAUAUCAGUUUUUCUGUCAUGUAUUAUCAGUUGUAUAGUUAGUUUUCUGUGCUGUGCUGCACAGUAACCCCAUCCAUCCAUCCAGCAGCAAGCUACCCAGACAUGCUUCUCCCCAGUCACGUCCUCCAGCUCCUCCUGGGGGAUCCCAAGGCAUUCCCAGGCCAGAUGGGAUAUGUAAUCCCUCCAGCAUGCUCUGGGUCUGCCCUGGGGUCCACAGGGAGGCAACCAGGAUGCAUCCUGACGAGAUGUCUGAACCACCUCAACUGGCUUCUUUUAAUAAUGUGAAGACACCACAGUUCUACCAAGCUCCAUCCAGAUGUCUGAGCUCCUUACCCCUGUCCCUAAGGGCGAGGAGCUCAGAUAUCACCUAUGCAUGUGUGUGAUGUUUGUAUCAAACCCACUUG